rnacentral:misc_RNA from 1 species
UGUAAAAACCAAAAGAAAUGUCGAUUUCUGGGAGGAUGAUCUAGCUAAGAUUAGGACAAACUUACAAUUUAUAGAAGAGGAUAAAUCUGUUAUGAGCCAACAAGAGUACGAAGCUGAUAAAGCUGAAUAUAAAGAUAAAGAGACUCUGAGCCUUAGGAACUACAAUACUUCUAAACGUUAUCUAGAAAUUCUGGAGCGUGAUGG